GACGAACGCUGGCGGCGUGCUUAACACAUGCAAGUCGAACGGAAAGGCCCUUCGGGGUGCUCGAGUGGCGAACGGGUGAGUAACACGUGGGUGAUCUGCCCUGCACUUUGGGAUAAGCCUGGGAAACUGGGUCUAAUACCGGAUAGGACCAUGGCCUUCAUGGGUUGUGGUGGAAAGCUUUUGCGGUGUGGGAUGGGCCCGCGGCCUAUCAGCUUGUUGGUGGGGUGAUGGCCUACCAAGGCGACGACGGGUAGCCGGCCUGAGAGGGUGUCCGGCCACACUGGGACUGAGAUACGGCCCAGACUCCUACGGGAGGCAGCAGUGGGGAAUAUUGCACAAUGGGCGCAAGCCUGAUGCAGCGACGCCGCGUGGGGGAUGACGG
rnacentral:rRNA from 1 species